GACGAACGCUGGCGGCGUGCCUAAUACAUGCAAGUCGAGCGGACUUUAUGGAGUGCUUGCACUCCGGAGAGUUAGCGGCGGACGGGUGAGUAACACGUAGGCAACCUGCCCUCAAGACUGGGAUAACUACCGGAAACGGUAGCUAAUACCGGAUAAUUUAUUACAUAGCAUUAUGUAAUAAUGAAAGACGGAGCAAUCUGUCACUUGGGGAUGGGCCUGCGGCGCAUUAGCUAGUUGGUGGGGUAACGGCCCACCAAGGCGACGAUGCGUAGCCGACCUGAGAGGGUGAACGGCCACACUGGGACUGAGACACGGCCCAGACUCCUACGGGAGGCAGCAGUAGGGAAUCUUCCGCAAUGGGCGAAAGCCUGACGGAGCAACGCCGCGUGAGUGAUGAAGGUUUUCGGAUCGUAAAGCUCUGUUGCCAAGGAAGAACGUCUCAUAGAGUAACUGCUAUGAGAGUGACGGUACUUGAGAAGAAAGCCCCGGCUAACUACGUGCCAGCAGCCGCGGUAA
rnacentral:rRNA from 1 species